rnacentral:rRNA from 1 species
UACGUAGGGUCCAAGCGCUGUCCGGAAUUAUUGGGCGUAAAGGGCUCGUAGGCGGCCUGUCGCGUCUGGUGUGAAAGCACGGGGCUCAGCUCCGUGUCUGCGCUGGAUACGGGCAGGCUUGAGUGCCGCAGGGGGGAAUGGAAUUCCCGGUGUAACGGUGGAAUGUGUAGAUAUCGGGAAGAACACCGAUGGCGAAAGCAGUUCCCUGGGCGGUUACUGACGCUGAGGAGCGAAAGCGUAGGGAGCGAAC